UCCUCCUUAGCUCAGUUGGUUAGAGCAUCUGACUGUUAAUCAGAGGUUCUUGGUUCGAGCCCAAGAGGGGGAG
rnacentral:tRNA from 1 species